GCAAGCGUUAAUCGGAAUUACUGGGCGUAAAGCGCACGCAGGCGGUCAAUUAAGUCAGAUGUGAAAGCCCCGAGCUUAACUUGGGAAUUGCAUCUGAAACCGGUUGGCUAGAGUCUUGUAGAGGGGGGUAGAAUUCCACGUGUAGCGGUGAAAUGCGUAGAGAUGUGGAGGAAUACCGGUGGCGAAGGCGGCCCCCUGGACAAGGACUGACGCUCAGGUGCGAAAGCGUGGGGAGCAAACAGGAUUAGAUACCCUGGUAGUCCACGCUGUAAACGAUGUCGAUUUAGAGGUUGUGGUCUUGAACCGUGGCUUCUGGAGCUAACGCGUUUAAUCGACCGCCUGGGGAGUACGGCCGCAAGGUUAAAACUCAAAUGAAUUGACGGGGGCCCGCACAAGCGGUGGAGCAUGUGGUUUAUUUCGAUGCAACGCGAAGAACCUUACCUACUCUUGACAUCCAGAGAAUCCUUUAGAGAUAGAGGAGUGCCUUCGGGAACUCUGAGACAGGUGCUGCAUGGCUGUCGUCAGCUCGUGUUGUGAAAUGUUGGGUUAAGUCCCGCAACGAGCGCAACCCUUAUCCUUUGUUGCCAGCGCGUGAUGGCGGGAACUCAAAGGAGACUGCCGGUGAUAAACCGGAGGAAGGUGGGGAUGACGUCAGGUCAUCAUGGCCCUUACGAGUAGGGCUACACACGUGCUACAAUGGCAGAUACAGAGAGAAGCGACCUCGCGAGAGCAAGCGGGACUCAUAAAGUCUGUCGUAGUCCGGAUUGGAGUCUGCAACUCGACUCCAUGAAGUCGGAAUCGCUAGUAAUCGUAGAUCAGAAUGCUACGGUGAAUACGUUCCCGGGCCUUGUACACACCGCCCGUCACACCAUGGGAGUGGGUUGCAAAAGAAGUAGGUAGCUUAACCUUCGGGAGGG
rnacentral:rRNA from 1 species